UACGUAGGGGGCAAGCGUUAUCCGGAAUCACUGGGUGUAAAGGGUGCGUAGGCGGAACGGCAAGUCAGAUGUGAAAGACCCGUGCUCAACAUGGGGACUGCAUUUGAAACUGUCGAACUAGAGUGCAGGAGAGGAAAGUGGAAUUCCUAGUGUAGCGGUGAAAUGCGUAGAUAUUAGGAAGAACACCAGUGGCGAAGGCGGCUUUCUGGACUGUAACUGACGCUGAGGCACGAAAGCGUGGGGAG
rnacentral:rRNA from 1 species